GCGAACAUUACGUAAAAUUUUCAAUCCAAUUUGUACUAUCAAUGAUGUUUUAAAGUUAAAAAUUAACCAUCAUUAAAAUUUCUAAUAGCUGUGUGGCGACCAAAAAAAAGAAAAAAAAGAAAAAAAAAGGAUAAUAUCCCCCUCUAGAGGACAGGGGGAUCUAAGAAAAAAAAGGGGGUAGUGAAGGGAAGGACGAUGAACAAACGCUGACUGGCCAGACCAGUCAAGAUACGGCCAGACCGUACCUCUUGCGUUUGCUCAAAAAAAGAAUGGAAACUACCCUUAGGGCUGACUGGCCAGACCAGUCAAGAUACGGCCAGACCGUACCUCUUGCCCUAAGGAAAAGGUGGAUAGAUAAGAGUAGUAAGGAAGGGACUAAAAGCUGAUUGGCCAGACCAAUCAAGACAACGGCCAGACCGUGCCUCUUGCCCUUAGUCAAAAGAGAAAGAAUGAAAGGAGGAAGUGUAGAGAAGAAAAAAAAGGGGGGGGUGUCAGAAAGAACAAUAAAAAAAGAGACUUCUCGUAAGUGAACUAAAGAAGCUUGUAUUCUAAGAAAAAAAAAGAAACUCUCGAAAUCAAAGAAAAAUAUAUAUAAAAAAAAAGAGAACGGGAAUAAUAACGACGAAAAAGAGGAGGGGCCAAACUAAACGUCAAAUCACUAACCAAUAAAAAAAAAUAAACUAAUUCCUACGUACACGAACAAGACCAACGUAACCGACGUAUCCAGAAAAAUAACCAACCAAAACCAGCUCCGACUCCCGCGGAGGCUCUUCGCAAUCUGAAUUUUCCGUCGCGGCCAGAGAGCUUCGUUGCCUCCGGAGCGCCUCGGGCCAGCGGUGGGGGAUGCUGAAUCAGCGUACUGUCCCUUCCGCCGGGAAAACAAGUGUUUCUAGCUGUAAAAAAGGACAGAUACGAUGUCAUCUCUCGCUCUGGCCCGAGACGCUACGGAAACUCCCGAGCUGACUUCCCUGGUCAUCACA